rnacentral:ribozyme from 13 species
UGCAGGACAGAAAAAGAAAGAAAAUGAUGAAGAGAAACAAUAUUGUACGUCUUUCUCUCUCUUUUUUUCCCCUUUUAUUCACACUCCUGUUUUU